rnacentral:rRNA from 1 species
UUCAAUUCCGGCUGAUCCUGCCGGAGACCACUGCUAUCUGGGUUCGGCUAAGCCAUGCAAGUCUUUGCCUCUCUGAGGCAAGGCGAAAAGCUCAGUAAAACAUAGUCAACCUGCCCUUGGGUCCGGGAUAAUCUCGCGAAAGUGAGGCUAAUACCGGAUAGGCAAGGAUGCCUGGAAUGGUUCCUUGCCCAAAGCUUCGGCGCCCAAGGAUGGGACUAUGUCGGAUUAGGUUGUUGUUGGGGUAACGGCCCAACAAGCCUAUAAUCCGUACGGGCCUUGAGAGAGGAAGCCCGGAGAUGGACUCUGAGACAACAGUCCAGGCCCUACGGGGCGCAGCAGGCGCGAAAACUUCCCAAAAACCCUUUUUACAGGAGCUAACGCUUCCUCAAAAAGCGUUUACGGAAAAAUAUGUAAAAAGGGUUGGGGAAUGCGCGCAAGCGUGAGGAGGGAACCCAGAGUGGUUGCCCUUUGGGGUAACCUUUUCUCGAGUGUAAAAAGCUCGAGGAAUAAGCGGUGGGUAAGACGGGUGCCAGCCGCCGCGGUAAUACCCGCGCCGCGAGUGGUGGUCACGAUUAUUGGGCUUAAAGCGUCCGUAGCCGGCUUGUAAAGUCCUUGGUGAAAUCCCAUAGAAAACUAUGGGGCUUGCCAAGGAUACUUACAAGCUUGGGACCGGGAGAGGGCAGCGGUACUCCAGGGGUAGGGGUAAAAUCCUGUAAUCCUUGGAGGACCACCUGUGGCGAAGGCGGCUGCCUGGAACGGAUCCGACGGUGAGGGACGAAAGCCAGGGGAGCGAACGGGAUUAGAUAGACCCUUUUUACAGGAGCUGAUGCCUCCUCAAAAAGCAUUAGCGGAAAAACAAGUAAAAAGGGUCCUGAAAACCCCGGUAGUCCUGGCCGUAAACGAUGCCCGCUAGACGUUGGCAGUCUUACGGGGGCUGCCAGUGUCGUAGCGAAAGCGUUAAGCGGGCCGCCUGGGG